GCGGCUUUGGUCCAAUGGUUAGGAUUUUGUGCUUCCACCACAAAGGUUCGUGUUCGAUUCACGAAAGUCGCA
rnacentral:tRNA from 1 species